rnacentral:rRNA from 1 species
AUUAGUUUAUAAUUUCAGAUUAGGUUUGUGGAGUAAUUAAGGACUAAUUUAGUCUAAGCUAAGUGGCCGCAUGUGUAGUUAGACUAAUCUCUACUCCUAAUAAAGCAGUUGGUGAAUAGUCUGCGUGGUUUAUUUUUGUUGGUUUACCCACCUCCGUUUUAUUUUCGUCCCACCUCUUUUGAUUUAUUUUCGUCCUUCCUCCCACCUCCUAUUUUCGUUGGGUUUUUUCGUCGGGUUUUUUUCUCCGGUCUUUAUUCAUCCCCUUCCCACUGGUUUUACAGUGCAGAGAAAACCAUCUGCGCACCCCCCUCCACGAAUUCAUGCAUCUCACCCUCCCUCCUGCACGAGCAUCCGCCGCCGCCGGUGCGUUGGCUGCCUCCCUCCCCCAUCGCCGGCCACCUCUCGCGCCUCAUAGCCGGUCGCCUUCCUCCACCGGAUGCCGACCACCUACUUCACCCCGCCGACCACCUACAUCCCAGCCGCCGGCCAUGACCAGAUCCGCACCGGCGUUCCCGCAUCGGCGCCACCACGACCAUGCAGCGGCAGAGGAGUCCUCCUCCUCCCACCACCACCGCUGCCACCACCGCGCCCUCCUCCUUCCACCUCCACACCCAUCCAUCCCUCCCUGCUCGCGCCCGAAACCCUAGCCCGCGGGCGGCCAUGGUGACCGAGCUCAGGAUCCGCAGCAUCUUCCUCUCCUCCGAGAGCAAGAGCGGCAACUUCUGCAAGGUCAGUUUGCUCCCUCCAAUCUCCUCUGCAUGCGUGAAGGGGCCCGGCCAAGGAGAAGCUGCUGCUGCUGCAGGUUCUUCCUCCUCCCCGCUGUAGGUGCUUAUGUGUGGGAUUUGCUUCGAAAGUUGUCCACGUGAGUCAAUGGGUGCUGCUUCAUGUGGGCAUUCUUUCUGUGGUGUAUGUUGGGGAGAGAAGAUGGCACAACUGAAUACGGAGAUCCGUCUGUUGAAGACGCUGAGGCACAAGAACAUUCAGAAGUUGUUUGCCUCAUGGAUUGAUGAGGAUAAGAAGACAGUUAACAUCAUCACAGAGCUCUGCACAUCCGGCAGUUUGAGGCAGUUCCGUAAGAAGCACAAUAAAGUCUGUAUGAAGGCUAUGAGAGGAUGGGCAAUACAGAUAUUGACAGGGCUGGAAUAUCUAGGCAGUCAGGAACCAACCAUUAUUCAUAGGGAUUUAAAGUGUGACAACAUAUUCAUAAACGGUCAUGAUGGACAAGUGAAGAUUGGCGACUUUGGUCUGGCGACAUUUUUGCAUCAACGGAAAACGAGAAGUAUCAAAGGCACAUUAGAGUUUAUGGCACUAGAACUCUUCACUGGGAAUUACAACGAGUUGGUGGAUAUAUAUUCAUUUGGGAUGUGCAUGCUUCAAAUGGUGACAUGUGAAUAUCCAUACAGUGAAUGUGAAGGCAAGCCAUGGAUAUACAAGAAAAUUUCUGAAGGUAUAAAACCAGCUGUGCUUUCCAAGGUUGAAGAUGCAGAAGAGGUUUCAUAGAAAUCUGUUUGGCUCCGCCAGCUGAAAGACUUUGUGCAAGUGAGCUCUUGAAGAACUGUUUCCUCUAGAAAGACAAGCCUAUCCCAGCGCCUCCUAUUUCAGUCUCCCUGGUCUCGAGUGUGACUAAAGAUGGGCGGCAGUCUGCCAGUUUCAUGCUAUGGAAGGGUGAAUUCUCACUAAAAGGCGACAUGCAUGUCACUAACCAUGUUAAUUUAUCGCUAAGAUUUCCUGACCCCAAUGGUUGUUUUAAGAAUGCCGAGUUCCCGUUCAAUGUGGACCAAGAUACCAGCCUUUCUGUGGCUCUGGAAAUGGUCUACACUUUUGGACGGUGGCGGCGGAGGCAGAGGCUAUGGCUCGAUAGCGAGACGAGUCUGUUGAGAAUAGCCAGCGACGGGCUCUUUUCUUUCGCUUGCUCUGUUUUAAAAAAAGAGGUUCGGGGUUCUUUUUUUUGUACAGAGAAUUUACCACAGUAUUGGAAAUACUCUGGUUUUGAUAAUACAGUUUUUAGUGCUAACCAAAUAGGUCACUGUAAAUAAAACCAUGGUAAGUAAAAAAACUGCAGUAUUCUAAGAAUACUUAAAGAAAUACUUUGCUAUCAAACAGGGCCUCAAAGUAAUUAAAACCAUGGUGUUCCUAAAAACUGUAGUAUUUCCAGAAUACUUAGAAAAUACAGAGCUAUCAAACAGGCCCUGAAUCAUCAAUUGGAGGUGGUAGUAUGAGAUUUAAAAAAUCUGACAGUGUAGGAGAUAUCUAACUCCAUGGCAAUGUUCGAUGGAUGUUCUGCGAAUUGCUCGCAAGCCAUGAAAAAUUGGGGUUUAACACAGCAUAUAUAUUGUCUUAGACACUCAUGAUCUGGUGAUAGUUUUAAUUGCCUUGAUCUUUGUUUUGUAGUACAGACAAGAAUAGCUUCAAUGACAGCAUCUCGAAUCAUCAAGUUGUGUGACUUCCCUCUUGAGUGGGUGUUGUAUUUUAGCAGGCCUAUAUUUGAAAUAGUUGAGAGCCACUUUUGUUAUUUCUAUAUGGGUGCACACCAAAUUAUACCUUCCGAGAAGAUUAAUGUGCUCAUGAUUUACCUUCUGAAAAAGGGAACUUGUGAUCCAUCUGCGCGCAAUGAGCUGGAGGCGGGGGGCACAAAAGGACACUAAGCCACCCCAGAUUGUUACGACACAGUGGUGCCACUGUGUGGGCAUCAACACGAGGAGUUGAUGCAACUGCAACACAGGGCAGCAGCGGUAUGACGACUUCAACAUGAGUCCUGGUGAGAAGAACGCGGGAGCUAGGAUAUAGAGCCAGAUGUUGUGUAUGUAUAAGAAUUUCAUCUACGCUUAUAUUAUUUUGCAGGGUCCUAAUGCAUUCACUGUUCUAAUUUCUCCUGGAUGCAUCGGAACGCACUGCUACCAAGUGUAAUACUCUUGAAACGAACACAUAUACUUAGUAUUCUGGGAAAUAAAGGAAACUAUGGAAUAAUGAGGACCCUGGUCUUCUAUGUAAACUAGAUACUGAUCCUACAUGGAAUUUCUAUGUAAAAAUUACUAACAUAGUGGAGAAGCGCACCACUUGAUGUCCUGAGCCUUCGCACAGCCAGCAAGUGCUUUGGCUAGGCUUGUGUUGGAUGGUAGAAAGUUUUGGCUCAGGUUGUUGUUUGUUCAUUUGGCAUGACUACUUGUAGGCGGUAUUUUAUUGUUAGUUUCAACAUUAUUUCAACUCUGUUGUUUCGGUCUGUGCUUAUUAUAGUAUUCUGGCUAGAUAGUGUUCACAUCGUAGUACCUAUACUUCACAUGUACUCCCUCCGUCCCUUGAUUUAGUACAACUUUAGUAUACUUACACAUGCUGACAUGUGUUGUUAGUCAUUCUUUCCUGUGUAUGAAGGAUGAUAGGAUUCUUGUAAUAGUUAAGAGUACCAUUUUCAAAAAUUUGGUGAACUACUGUAAAGAUGUUGCAAUUUUGCCAGAUUAUAACCUC